rnacentral:rRNA from 1 species
UUUCCAGACUCCUACGGGAGGCAGCAGUGGGGGAUAUUGCACAAUGGGGGAAACCCUGAUGCAGCGACGCCGCGUGGGUGAAGAAGCGCCUCGGCGCGUAAAGCCCUGUCAGCAGGGAAGAAAAUGACGGUACCUGAAGAAGAAGCCCCGGCUAACUACGUGCCAGCAGCCGCGGUAAUACGUAGGGGGCAAGCGUUAUCCGGAUUUACUGGGUGUAAAGGGAGCGUAGACGGCAGUGCAAGUCCGGAGUGAAAGCCCGGGGCUCAACCCUGGGACUGCUCUGGAAACUGUAAAGCUGGAGUGCGGGAGGGGCAGGCGGAAUUCCUGGUGUAGCGGUGAAAUGCGUAGAUAUCAGGAGGAACACCGGCGGCGAAGGCGGCCUGCUGGACCGUAACUGACGUUGAGGCUCGAAAGCGUGGGGAGCAAACAGGAUUAGAUACCCGCGUAAA